GCCUACCAUGGUGGUAACGGGUAACGGGGUGUUAGGGCACGACACCGGAGAGGGAGCCUGAGAAACGGCUACCACACCCAAGGAUGGCAGCAGGCGCGCAAAUUACCCAAUCCCGACACGGGGAGGUAGUGACAAUAAAUAACAAUACGGGGUUCUUUAGGAUCUCGUAAUUGGAAUGAGUACAAUUUAAAUCUCUUAACGAGGAACAAUUGGAGGGCAAGUCUGGUGCCAGCAGCCGCGGUAAUUCCAGCUCCAAUAGCGUAUAUUAAAGUUGUUGCAGUUAAAAAGCUCGUAGUUGAAUUUCGGGGUCAGUAGGUUGGUCGUGCCACCGGUACGUACUGGUCUCACUGAUUCCUCCUUCCUGAUGAGCUGUAAUGCCAUUAAUUUGGUGUUGCAGGGAAUCUGGACUGUUACUUUGAAAAAAUUAGAGUGUUUAAAGCAGGCUAACGCUUGAAUACAUUAGCAUGGAAUAAUGAAAUAGGACGUUCGAUCCUAUUUUGUUGGUUUCUAGGAUUGACGUAAUGAUUAAUAGGGAUAGUUGGGGGCAUUAGUAUUCAAUUGUCAGAGGUGAAAUUCUUGGAUUUAUUGAAGACUAACUACUGCGAAAGCAUUUGCCAAGGAUGUUUUCAUUAAUCAAGAACGAAAGUUAGGGGAUCGAAGACGAUCAGAUACCGUCGUAGUCUUAACCAUAAACUAUGCCGACUAGGGAUCGGAUGAUGUUAAUUUUUUAAUGACUCAUUCGGCGCCUUACG
rnacentral:rRNA from 1 species